rnacentral:rRNA from 1 species
UGUUUCCGAAUGGAAGGAGGGUGUAUUGGGUUUGAACUCAAGGCGCAAUGAAGUAAAGAAUCCGCAAGGAUACGACGUGCCCAAAAGAACAAUCACGAUUGCCUGGAGCAACAUGGCCCCCCCCCUGGUCGCUUGCGACGGGGUGGAGGAAGAGCGUACGCGGUGAGACCCGAAAGAUGGUGAACUAUUCCUGAGCAGGCCCACCCAAAGCGAGACACCCCGGUGGAAGUCCGAAGCGAUUCUGACGUGCAAAUCGAUCGUCUGACUUGGGUAUAGGGGCGAAAGGACUAAUCGAACCAUCUAGUAGCUGGUUCCUUCCGAUU